UACGUAGGGUGCAAGCGUUGUCCGGAUUUAUUGGGCGUAAAGAGCUCGUAGGCGGUUUAGAAAGUCAGGUGUGAAACCUCCAGGCUCAACCUGGAGACGCCACUUGAUACUUCUAUGACUUGAGUUUGGUAGGGGAACACGGAAUUCCUGGUGUAGCGGUGAAAUGCGCAGAUAUCAGGAGGAACACCGAUGGCGAAGGCAGUGUUCUGGGCCAAAACUGACGCUGAGGAGCGAAAGCGUGGGGAGCGAACAGG
rnacentral:rRNA from 1 species